AUUGAACGCUGGCGGCAGGCAUAACACAUGCACGUAGAACGAGUGGCGGACGGGUGAGUAAUGGCUGGGCAACUGCCUGAUGGAGGGGGAUAACUACGGGAAACGGUAGCUAAUACCGCAUACAAACGGAUGUGCCCAGAUGGGAUUAGCUAGUAGGUGGGGUAAAGGCUCACGUAGGCGACGAUGCCUAGCUGGGCUGAGAGGAUGACCAGCCCCACUGGAAACGAGCCGCGGUCCGGACUCCUACGUGAGGCAGCAGUGGGGAAUAUUGCACAAGGGGCGCAAGCCUGAUGCAGCCAUGCCGCGUGUAUGAAGAAGGCCUUCGGGUUGUAAAGUACUUUCAGCGGGGAGGCGUUACCCGCAGAAGAAGCACCGGCUAACUCCGUGCCAGCAGCCGCGGUAAUAC
rnacentral:rRNA from 1 species